rnacentral:rRNA from 1 species
UACGAGGGGGGCUAGCGUUGCUCGGAAUCACUGGGCGUAAAGCGCACGUAGGCGGAUUCCUAAGUCGGUGGUGAAAUCCUGGAGCUCAACUCCAGAACUGCCUCCGAUACUGAGAGUCUUCGAGUCCGGGAGAGGUGAGUGGAACUGCGAGUGUAGAGGUGAAAUUCGUAGAUAUUAGGAAGAACACCAGUGGCGAAGGCGGCUCACUGGUCCGGUACUGACGCUGAGGUGCGAAAGCGUGGGGAGCAAACAGG